GUUCCUUCGGGACAUACGAUAAAAUUGGAACGAUACAGAGAAGAUUAGUAUGUCCACUGUGUAAGGAUGACACGCACAAAUCAAGAAAUAGUCCAAAUUUUU
rnacentral:snRNA from 1 species